rfam:Brassica napus, WGS project CCCW01000000 data, contig: 15110
GGAAGUUAAGAAACAAUUUCUUAACUUUUAACUAAAAAAACUAAGAACCAGUUCUUAAAUAAAGACUUUAAGAAGCGGUUCUUAGCUUUUUUAGUUAAAAGUUAAGAAACAGUUUUUUAACUUCU